rnacentral:rRNA from 1 species
UACGAAGGUGGCAAGCGUUGUUCGGAUUUACUGGGCGUAAAGGGAGCGUAGGUGGUGGGGUAAGCCCCGCGGGAAAGCUCCAGGCUUAACCUGGAAAGGUCGCGGGGGACUGCUCCGCUUGAGGACGGGAGAGGAGCGCGGAAUUCCCGGUGUAGCGGUGAAAUGCGUAGAUAUCUGGAGGAACACCGGUGGCGAAGGCGGCAUCCUGGACCGAUAUUGACGCUGAUGCGCGAAAGCCAGGGGAGCAAACGGG